UACGUAGGGUGCGAGCGUUAAUCGGAAUUACUGGGCGUAAAGGGCGCGUAGGCGGCCUAUUAAGUCAGACGUGAAAUCCCUCGGCUCAACCGGGGAACUGCGUCUGAUACUGGUGGGCUUGAGUUCGGGAGAGGAAUGUGGAAUUCCAGGUGUAGCGGUGAAAUGCGUAGAUAUCUGGAGGAACACCGGUGGCGAAGGCGGCAUUCUGGACCGACACUGACGCUGAGGCGCUAAAGCCAGGGGAGCAAACGGG
rnacentral:rRNA from 1 species